rnacentral:lncRNA from 1 species
UUAAUUAUUAUACUCUCGUCACUAACUUGAAUCACGUUCAAUAUUUGUUUGGUUCCCUGAAAUUCGACACCACAAUUAAAAAAUGCCCUUUGAUCUAUCUAGUAAAUCGUAGUUCCAGUUCUUCACGCGGGUUUCUUGGGAUUUCUAUUCAUAACUGGUGGUGGAAACCAUGACAAUGAUUGAAGUGCUGAAGAUAAUUUGGAUAAUCAUGCUUCGGAGUUUGGAUAACGAGAGGAAGACCGGUGAGAGAAGCUUGCAGGGGGGAGGUAGAGAUAGAUAGAUAG